AUUUGUAUUCAGGUUCAUUAACAAAUCAACUUCCUUUUAUUUUUUUAUAGUUAUUUGUCAUCUGUGGGUUUUUUUUCCCCAUACAGCAAUAUGAGCCUACCAAAUUUGUAUUUUGUUCCUUACCAAAGAGACAGCGAACACUGAAAAUAUUUACUCAGCCUGUUUGCCCAAGUUACCCAAGGUCACAAAGUUAGUAAACAAGCUUUGGACUGGGUCUGCCUAGUAUCCCCACUUCCCACUGGGGCCAAACCCUGUUGACACCGGAGUCCUCAUCUCUGUCUCACUUGCUGGGUCCUUCUGCACUCUGUCUACUUCCCUUCCUGGCCUCCAGUCUGACUUAGGGGUAGCCAUUGUCUAAUUCACUAAUUCUGCCAAAUACUGCAUGUGCAGAACGCACUGGGAGCCCUGCAGGACUGGGCAUACCAGCCAGGGUCUCUGUCCUCGGGGACCCAGGAAAGGAGGCAGGGAACAGGGCCAGAGAAUUUCACAUCUUGUGGGAGACCCUGAGAGCUGUGGAUGGCCUUUGAAAGCAUGAACUCCAGCACCACAUCAUCCGAUCUGCUUGUUUAAAAGAUGUUUGGCUUUGGGGAGGGAACAGAAUCAAGGGUAAUCGCCAAGUUAGCAAAUGCUGGUUCUGUUUACUAAGAGUUGUUCGUUCCUUAAAUAUGAGCGCCUGUUGCACUGUUGGCUGUUAGGAAAUGUCAGUAAAUAAGAUAAGCUAGCAAGGCCACCCAGCAGCUAGCUAGCUAGUUCAGGGAGGAGAGAGGCAGGAGGGACUCAGAUCAGCUUAGAACCUGGGAAAGCGUUGAGAUAACCAGGCCUGCUAUUCAAGUGGAAGUAGGCAGUUGGCCAUUUGACUCUGAAGGAGAUGUCUGGACUGCAGCCUAGGAAAAAAGCAGUGGAAGAUGCCCCAAAUGAUUGGCCCCUGCACCCACAUUGGAGACUAGGAUGAAGCUCCUGGCUUCAGCCUGGCCCUGCCCUGGCUGUCACAGCCAUUUGGAUUGUGAACCAGCAGAUGGAAGAUCUCCCUCUCUCUCUCUCUCCCUCUCCCUCUCCCUUUAACUCUGCCUUUCAAAUAAAUAAAUAAAUCUUAAAGCAUA